ensembl:snoRNA
CUUCAUUGAUGACCUGUUUUGUGCCACUGAUGUAUUGUAAUGGUAAUGAGGAUCUGAAGAG